rnacentral:rRNA from 1 species
GACAGAGGGUGCAAGCGUUGUUCGGAAUUACUGGGCAUAAAGCGCACGUAGGCGGUUCGCUAAGUCUGUCGUGAAAUCCCCCGGCUCAACCGGGGAAUAGCGUCGGAUACUGGCGAGCUCGAGGUCGAUAGGGGUAAGUGGAACUCCAGGUGGAGCGGUGAAAUGCGUAGAUAUCAGGAGGAACACCGAUGGCGAAGGCAGGUCUCUGGGCUGACACUGACGCUCAUGCACGAAAGCGUGGGGAGCAAACAGG